rnacentral:rRNA from 1 species
UACGUAGGGGGGCAAGCGUUGUCCGGAUUUACUGGGCGUAAAGAGCGUGUAGGCGGCCAAACAGGUCCGUUGUGAAAAACUGGAGGCUCAACCUUCAGAGGUCGACCGAAACCAUCUGGCUAGAGUCCGGGAGAGGAGAGUGGAAUUCCUGGUGUAGCGGUGAAAUGCGCAGAUAUCAGGAGGAACACCGGUGGCGAAGGCGGGGUCUCUGGGCCGUAACUGACGCUGAGGAGCGAAAGCAUGGGGGAGCGAACAGG